GGGGGUGUAGCUCAGUGGGAGAGCACCUGCCUUGCAAGCAGGGGGUCAGCGGUUCGAAUCCGCUCAUCUCCACCA
rnacentral:tRNA from 3 species